GGUAGCGUGGCCGAGUGGUCUAAAGUGCUGGGUUUUUAGGCUCCAGUUUCUUCAGAGGUGUGGGUUUGAAUCCUGCCACUACCA
rnacentral:tRNA from 1 species